rnacentral:lncRNA from 1 species
UAAAAACCUGGGACGAAAGGGAGUCCUGGGGGACUGAUCACAGGAGGCUGAAAGGGGACGGAAACGUCCCAUCGAGCUCGGGAAUUGGUAAACCCUUUCAGUCAACGGACCUCGGAACAGGUCCAAAAGGAGAAUCGAGGCGCUAAAAAGACCCCGGUGCAGCUAACCGAGAGGUAAGUAUUAGCGGACUUUGAUUUUUCUGACAAAGGCGGACGUACACAACGCAGAACAGGUAAGAUUUUUUUGAUUAACUAUGGGGCAGAGAAAAAGUAAACUGCAGAAGAAAAGUAACGAGAAAGGCCCCUCCAAGAAAGCGAAGGGAUUGCUAGACAUCCCACCGGAAAGCCCCUUGGGAUGGAUGUUGAAAAAUUGGGAAAAUUGUCCUGAGAGGAAAAAGAAAUCCAAAGCAAAAAUGAUCUAUUACUGUGCCGAGGUUUGGGGAGGGCAGGAACUGAGAAGCCAUCUCACUUGGCCGGUACUAGGGACAUUUGAAAGGUGGACGUGCAACGAAUUACUCUCUCAUGUGGAGAGUAAGGUUCCCUCGGACUCCGAGGAGAAAGAAUAUGCCAGACUCUGGUUAACUGCCAGAGUAGGGUUGUUUCCGAUAAAACAAAAAGGUGAAUCAAAGGCAGAAACCUGGGAACCCCUUGAUCAUUUACCCCCUCCAUACCAUGGGCCGGCAGAGCCUUCUGCAGGGGAUCAAGUGGUGCCGUCAGCACCCGCGGGUUCCCCAGGGCAAUCGGCUGAAACACACACAUCGCGAACGAGGGAAUCGGCACCGGCAGUGGUUCCGGCAGCCCUCCCUGUGUCCCCGCCUGUGGAAACCCCAGCCGCCACAACCUCGCCAAAGUCUAUGUUGGUGCAGGGCUGGGGAUCACCCUAUUCACAAUUGCCCGUCAGGCCGCCACAGCCAGGACCCUCGAACUUAACAGAGGGGGUCCCUUUCGGUAACUUGGCGGCAGCGGAUUUCCCGCAAAUAAUAAAAGAACAAACCUCCAGAAACCCCAGUUCCCCUCCUGCGAGUAGAACUCGUUUAAAAGNNNN